GAACACACAGGAGGAUGAGAACCCAAGUCUGUGAUUCCCAGGCGAGUCCGCAGAGGAGCCCCCGCCCCCGGGAGCCGCCCGUCUCUGGCCCCAGCCGACUCUGCUCCCAGCCGACUCUGGCCCCCGAUUUCUUGUCCGGACACUGCUUCCCGUUCUUAAAGAGCAAAGCCACUUCCUCUGCACCCAGUUUGCAGGCGGACUUUGUCCUGUGACUCGUUCGCUUCAGUAGCUGCGCUGUGACUGGAAUUCCUUACUGCUGCCACUGCGCUCCCAGGGGCACACACUAUACAGAUUCAGGGCUACAUUUUUUCAGAGCGAGCUUCUGAAGGGGAAGUUCAAGAAUCACUAUAUCAGAGGAGGACCAGUUGGCAUGAUGUCAACUCAGGCUUAACAGUCAGGCUUCAAGAUCAAACACAAAAGCCUGGGAGACCGCGGGAUGCAAUCCAUUCACACUGAGCCUGUUCCUCUCUCCCACGCCCACCGCCGCCCCCCAGCUCCUGGCCACCUGGCGUCUGGCCAUCCAUGCGGCUGACCCGAAGCUUGGGGGAUGGGCUUAUUUGCCCACGGGGGUUUCAUUCUGUGUUCCCAGGGGUGACAGGUCAUUUGGGAAGUAGAGAAGCCCAUCCGCCGGGACCUCCGCGGAGGCAGGGAAUGGAGGGUCUGAGAAAAGGUAAGGGACACCUAGUAAGACUUGGCCAGCAGCACAUUUGAAUAAAAAGCAAACACACCGACCCAUCUGCGCUCCAGUUCCCUUUUCACUCACUGCCCACAGCACCCUCGCUUUCGGAUUUGAACUUCAGCAGCACACGAUCCCCCCACUACUUGCCCAUGUUUCUCUUAGUGUCUCUUCUUCAACCCCACGCCAGUAAUUUCGUGCUCCCCUUCAUAUUUCCUACCACCACACCCAGUCAAUUUUCUCUGCUACUUCCUUCCUCUUGAUAGUCAGAGGAUGGAUUCCUGGCUGUGCCACACCCCUCCCCUGCCAGCUGGGCCCUGGAGGCUGGUGCACAGCUCCCGGCACACGCAUGCACGAGCACGCACAUGCGUGCACGAGCACUCACACGCAUGCAGGACUCAGUGAAGUAAGAGAACCAAGACGAGGCGCUUGGAGCAGGGCCUGCAGCAGGAGCCCCAACACCAGGCCGGGGGGGUGGAAGGUCUCCUCAGCAGACCUCAGUCUCCCCCACAGACAGGUGAGCUGGGCCCAGGACCCUAAGAGGACACUCGGCUUCAACCAGAACUUAGAUCAAUGAAGCCCCGAGCUGAACUCCAGGAAAUAAGAGCAGUAAAAUGUUCGAAUCGGGAGCUGGAGAGGCCUCGUAAACGGGGCUCCUGGCUCUGCAGGGUCUUGGGGGGCCCUCAGAGGGGCGCUCUCCCCUCCAGCCCCCACAGCAGCUGGCCCGCCACGCACGCUGUAUCCGCAGGUCCUGUAGAAGAGUGUUUUGUUCGAUUGCUAAACCAUUUCAAAGUACAAACAAAAAUGAACUCUAUACAGCUGCUUUGGAAACACAGCUUGGCCAUUUCUUUUAAAACGAAAUAUGCAACUGCUACAAGACCCAGAAACUGUACUGCUGGGCACUUAUCCCACAGAAAUGAAACGACGUUCACACCAAAAGCCGCCCGCCAACGCUCCGGACGACCUCGUGUGUAACAACAGCCCGAAACCCGGUGUCCUCCUGCAGGUGGAGGUGCUCACGGAGGCCGAGAAUUGAGAGGACGGGAGCACUCUAUCCUCAGGUGAACUCCGAGUCAGCAGAAACAGGUCCUGAGCUCAGGCCCAGGGCUCCCUGACCGUCCCAGCUAAGCUGACAGCCACCCUGUCAUGGCCCCCAUUUCUUUCCUGCCACUCAUCGCAAUCGGCCAGCACCCAGCACAUGCCAGCUACUCAGGAAGAUCUGCUGAAUGCAGGAGACCCUCCCUACCCCCAAAAAGGCCAGGUCUGGCAAAUACGGUGGGUAACAAAAUGUGGAGGGAAAGAGAGCUGUGUAUGCCAAACAAUUAAUGCUCCAAAUCCUUUCCCCAACACACGGGCUCCCUUAAUAAAGUCCUUUGAGACUGAGUUGGGGGAAGCGGGUGUCUCACGCUGGAUCCAAGGGUAAGGCCCAAAGCCAGGUUUCCCCAAAAGUCUUAAGCGAAGGCAGCAGCUCAGCACAGGUCUCCCGAGGUGACCACUGGGAAGGCGCCGGCACCCAAUGACAGGCGCAGGGCCAGCCUGCUAAGUGUCACUGUACAGCAGGAUCACCUGUUCAAUUCCCAGGGCCCAGACCGGCCCCACCUCAGCCAGAUGCCGGACGGGUCCAGGUUAGAAAGUCCUACGAGAGGGUAACACAGGAAGCACAGGCUGUAAUGGAAAGACAUUUAGCUCGUCUGCACGGGAUGCAUCCAGCAGGGGCGAAGUCGCCGGCCAGCAAGAGGCCAAGGGAGGCGCCAGCCGACGACGGGCACACCUCUGAUGCUGCAUUGGAUACCAACGAGACUUUCCUCUCAAUAUCCUUCGCCUUCAGGCUGAGGAAAAUGGGGAGGAAACAGCCAGGCUUCUUCUGUCAUUUGCACCGCGAAGGUGAGCUGGAGGGACAGAACUGGGGCCUCCAUGGCAACAGGCACCCCGCACCCGGCCAGGCCCAAGGGGCAGCCACUCUGGGCGACACAGCCCGACUCUCCACCUCCUCUCAGACCAACUCCAGCUCGACGCCUGCGACAAAUCUGUCCAGUGAAUCUGAGAGGCCACCGUAUUUUAAGAGCCAUGGGCCAGAGCCAACAUACCUGAAAUAGAAAAUAGAGGCGCUAGGGAAAUAAGCUGCCUUUGUUUUAAAAAAGGAAACAAGGUAUUUUAUAUACACUUGUCCAGACAGAAAUGUGAGGCUCCCUUUAUCUCUCGGGGUGCUCACGUCAAUAUAUGACGUUCUCAUAGAAUGCACGUUCUUCCUCAAAUGCACCUGUCGUUCCUUAUUUCCUUAUUUGGGUUGGGGGAGUGUGGGAGAAAAUAAAGUGGGUAAAAAAGGAAAACAGGUGUAAACUCCCCUCCGAGCAACACACCCAAGGGUUACAAAUGAAAGAAAGACACUUGGGGACUGGACGGGACGCUGCCUGUGCACACCGGCCAGUGGUGGCUCGGAAGCGGGGGUUUUCCAAACCAGAUCCUUCUACAACAUGCAAUGCUGACUCGAGCUGGCUGCUCUGGCUCCUUCUCCUGUAAUUAGACCUGCUCCUUCCUAAACACUGGCCGGCAAAUCUGCCCACGUUUCCAAGCUAAACCUUUCUAUGGAAAAAAGAGCGGUCCCUUACUCCCCCUUUACACUGUAAUAUAACCCUUAUCACAGUAAAGUAAAUGACAUUAUUGAAUUGUGUUCAUGAAUUUCAACAAAUAAACGGGAAAUCUUGAUAGUGCUGGAAAUCCUUUAAACACUCAAAA